rnacentral:rRNA from 1 species
GGUUAAGCGACUAAGCGUACACGGUGGAUGCCCUGGCAGUCAGAGGCGAUGAAGGACGUGCUAAUCUGCGAAAAGCGUCGGUAAGGUGAUAUGAACCGUUAUAGCCGGCGAUGUCCGAAUGGGGAAACCCAGUGUGAUUCGUCACACUAUCGUUAACUGAAUACAUAGGUUAACGAGGCGAACCGGGGGAACUGAAACAUCUAAGUACCCCGAGGAAAAGAAAUCAACCGAGAUUCCCCCAGUAGCGGCGAGCGAACGGGGAGCAGCCCAGAGUCUGAAUCAGCUUGUGUGUUAGUGGAACGGUCUGGAAAGUCCGACGGUACAGGGUGAUAGUCCCGUACACCAAAAUGCACAGG